UUCUGUAGAUAUCUUACGCAGCUCCUUGUUACUCUCCUUCAAUUGUUUCUCUCUCUCAUUCCAUUCUUCUUCUUUUUCUUCCUAUUCUCCCUCCACUCCUUCUCUCUUAACUUUGCCAACCUCACCUCCUCCUUCUCUCUUGUCUUUUUUUCUUUCUUUCUUUCUUUUUCAAUCUCCUUCCGUAGUUUUUCAUCCUCCUUCAUCAUCUGUAUCCAUUGUUUUCUUAGGUUCUUUAUUUCCUUGAUCUCCUCCUCGUUACUCACAUUCAAUAUUUUCUCUCUUUCCUUCCAUUCUUUUAAUUUUUUCUUAUUAUUCUCCCUCCAUUCAUUUUCUCUUAACUUCAUCAACUUUAUCUCCUCCUUUUCUCUUUUCUGUUCUUCUUUCUUUUUUGUCUUUUCAAUUUUCUUCUGUAGUCUUUGUUCCUCCUCUCCCAUCCGUAUCCAUUCCUUUUUACGUUGUUUCAAUUCUCUAAUCUCCUUCUCGUUACUCUCCUUCAUUUGUCUAUCUUCCUCCUUCCAUUGUUCUUCUACCUCCCUAUAUCUCUUCAUCCAUUCCAUUUCUCUCCACUUCCUUAACCUUACCUGGUCCUUCAGUUUAUGUCUCAUCCUCUCCUCCGUCACCUCCUCCUCUGCCGCCUCCGUCGCCUCCUCCAGUUCCUCCACCGGAGCCUUGUCCGGCUCCUCCUCCACUGCUGCCUCCUCCUCCGCCGCUGCCUUGUUCACCUUCUCCUCCGGUUCUGCCUCCUUCUCCGCCGCCGCCUCCUUCCCCUCGUCUGCCGCCUCCACCUCCUCUGCCACCUUCGCCUUGCCCAGCUUCUCCUCUGCUGGCUUCUCUGACCCUGCCUCCUCCGCUGCUGCCUCCUCCAUCUCCACCACUGGCUCCUCCUCCUCCUCCUCCGCCGCCGCCUCCUCCACCACCUCCUCCUCCGCCACCGCCACCUGCAGCUUCGCCUCCAGCUUCGCCUUCAGCUCCGCCUCCAGCUCCUCCACCGCCGCCUCCAGCUUCGCCACCGCUGCCGCCCUGUUCACCUCCUCCUCCGGCACUUCCUCCAUCUCCUCCGCCGCCUCCUCCUUUGCCACCGCCUCCUCCUCCUCCGCCACCUCCUCCGCUGACGCCUGCAGCUUCGCCUCCAGCUUCGCCUCCAGCUUCGCCACCGCCUCUAGCGCCGCCUCCAACACCGCAAUCAGCUCCGUCUCCAACUCCUCCAGCUUCUCCUCCUCCACCUUCGCCUUCUUCAUCACCGCCUCCUUCUCAGCCUUCACCUUCUCUUCAGCCUCCUCCUCAGCCUUCACCUUCUCUUCAGCCUCCUCCUCAGCCUUCACCUUCUCCUCCACCUCCUCCUUAGCCUUCACCUUCUCUUCAGCCUCCUCCUCAGCCUUUACCUUCUCUUCUCUUCUCUUCACCUCCUCCUCAGCCUUCAAUCUCUGUCAAUCCUCUGUAUAUUCUUUCGCUUUGUGGUUUGUAAUCUGUAAUGACACAUAA
ensembl:lncRNA